rnacentral:rRNA from 1 species
AUUGAACGCUGGCGGCAUGCUUUACACAUGCAAGUCGAACGGUAACAGGCCGCAAGGUGCUGACGAGUGGCGAACGGGUGAGUAAUGCAUCGGAACGUGCUCAGUCGUGGGGGCUAACGCAGCGAAAGCUUCGGUAAUACCGCAUACGAUCUAUGGAUGAAAGCGGGGGACCGGAAGGCCUCGCGCGAUUGGAGAGGCUGAUGUCAGAUUAGGUAGUUGGUGGGGUAAAGGCUCACCAAGCCAACGAUCUGUAGCUGGUCUGAGAGGACGACCAGCCACACUGGGACUGAGACACGGCCCAGACUCCUACGGGAGGCAGCAGUGGGGAAUUUUGGACAAUGGGCGCAAGCCUGAUCCAGCAAUGCCGCGUGCAGGAAGAAGGCCUUCGGGUUGUAAACUGCUUUUGUACGGAACGAAACGGCUCUGGUUAAUACCUGGGGCUAAUGACGGUACCGUAAGAAUAAGCACCGGCUAACUACGUGCCAGCCGCCGCCGUAAUAC